UCCAACCAUGCGCUCAGAGAAACAUCCCUGGCAUCCAGAGAUUUGCCAGCACCUCCUGCUGUUGGCUGCCACAUUUGGAGCUGAAACAUAAGCAUUGUGGCUUACAUCACUGCCCUCUGGGCAGCACAGUUGGUGUGACCCUGCCCACUCUCCCUCCUGGUCACCAGCAUACGGCAACAUGGGAGGGGAAAUGAAACCCCAAGAGGGGUGCCAUGGUGUUUUCCUGUGUGUUCUCUAUAGAGGCUAGACCUUACCUGAUAAGUAUCCAAGUGCUUCCCAGGGCUUUGGGUGAGAGUGUCAUUGUCCAGGAAUGUUGGUGACUGAAGCUAGAUAGUGUGGCACUUCCCAACCUCCCUCCUGCUCUAUCUUGGCUGAGUUCCUGCCAUUCUCAUGCCAGAGGACAUCACUGCCCUGACGUUGCAUAAGGACAACAUGGGGGGGGGGCACAAGACCAUUGGCUUGUUUCUCUUUUGACUUCCCAAUUCAAAAACCAAUAGUUUCAGGGCCCUGGUGACUUUGUGCUUGGUCUACUCCUGUGGAGAGAAACUCUAACCUCCUGGGGUCUGUUGCCAAGACAUCAAGAUGGGCAUUUGCAUCCUUCACGAUGGUUCACUUCCUCCCUUCCAAAGCCAAGUGUGAAGCCUUCAAGCGAAGGUCUUACUUUGCUCAUUUGUGUCUGCAGCGACAGGCCAGUCAAUGGAUCCCAGGGGAGGAAGGAGCUCCAGUUGACUCCUUCUCGUGGAGAAAGAGUAUGGAGAUCUGAGAAGCCAGAGAAACUGCCUUGAUCUUUGUCCUGAGGUAACCUUGGCACCCAAGACACAAAGUCCAAAGGCCUGGAACUGCUUGGGGUGCCAGUGCCUUUCCAGAUGCUGGCGAUGCCAAGGUAGUACUCCGCGAGACCAAGCACCUUUUAUGGCCUCAUCCGAGUCUUGGACAUGAGCCUUAAGUUUGUCAUGGACUUCUUACAACAAUUUACAAAUGGUCGCCCUGAAUGCAAUACUCCCGGUUAAAACAGGUUAAGUCCUCUAUGCCAUGAACAGAGUGUGAUCUGUGGCAAAAAGCAUCCCUCACGGGCGUCUUUUUCUAUUUCAGUUCACUUCCGGUUUCCGCAUUAGGCACAGGGAGCCCGGAAGAACAGUACAGCCCUGGCUUCAGAGAGCUACAAAAAAACAAACAAGCUUGGAAACAAAUAAAUGGUUCAAAGCAUUUUAAUUGCUGUGGUGUGAACAUCAGUUCUAUCUGUUCAGACAGUGACUAGUCUCUCCUGGAGGUAAAGAGGUGUGGAGAUCAGGAAGUGAUCCACUGGGGAGGGAAAGAGAUCUUAUCAAGUUCCAGGUGAGGGAAAGGGCCCGUAAAGUAGGAGUUCUGUUGACAAACAGGCAAUGGGGCUUGAAGGUUUAAUGAUGGGAUCCUGAGUCCCACAGGGCUCGAGCUGCUCCGGAAGGCAGGGCAAAGGGAGUUUGACCAUGCUUACCCCAUGCCCCGCUGGGGGCGGGUGUCAGGCUGCAGGACACUGCUUCAGGGGUGGAGAAGCAAAGACUGAGCUCUGGACACAGCUGGAGCUGGCUCAGGGGUCCCUAGGCCUGUAAGGAGGCCGGGGGCCGUCGGUUCUCAGGCUCUUGGGUGCCGCAGAAGAGCUGAGAAAGGAGUGGGGGCCUGCAAGGAUCUAGCCCAGGGCAGAGGGGAAAGGAGGAGGCACUCCAGCUGCUCCUGCUGAGGAAGAGUCUUUGGCCUGAUGGGUAGCGGGCUUGGACUUGGUGGUCUCCGGUGCUGGGAAUGCAGGGAGGCCUCCUGCGGGACUGUGUAGGCAAAGGCCUUCUCCCUGGAUCCCCAAGUCCGAUCCCAUAAAAAGAGGCAGCUCAUGGUUUCAAGACAUUUAUUGUCAUGGCUGGAAGUGGAUGAGUAAAACUGUACCCUA